rnacentral:rRNA from 1 species
AUUGAACGCUGGCGGCAGGCUUAACACGUGCAAGUCGAGCGGGGUGAUGUAGCUUGCUACAUUACCUAGCGGCGGACGGGUGAGUAAUGCUUAGGAAUCUGCCUAUUAGUGGGGGACAACAUUCCGAAAGGAAUGCUAAUACCGCAUACGCACUACGGGGGAAAGCAGGGGAUCUUCGGACCUUGCGCUAAUAGAUGAGCCGAAGUCAGAUUAGCUAGUUGGGGGGGUAAAGGCCUACCAAGGCGACGAUCUGUAGCGGGUCUGAGAGGAUGAUCCGCCACACUGGGACUGAGACACGGCCCAGACUCCUACGGGAGGCAGCAGUGGGGAAUAUUGGACAAUGGGCGAAAGCCUGAUCCAGCCAUGCCGCGUGUGUGAAGAAGGCCUUUUGGUUGUAAAGCACUUUAAGCGAGGAGGAGGCUACCGAGAUUAAUACUCUUGGAUAGUGGACGUUACUCGCAGAAUAAGCACCGGCUAACUCUGUGCCAGCAGCCGCGGUAAAAC